GGAGAUUUAGCUCAGCAGUAGAGCACUUGCCUAGCAAGCAAGGCCCUGGGUUCGAUCCCCAGCUCCG
rnacentral:tRNA from 1 species